CCAGAGUCUUCCGGCCGCAUGGUUACGAUACACACAAAAACGAUGCAGAAAAAUGAUGUCGAUCUCGUUUCCAUCAUCGAGUUGCAUCUCCAUUCUUCACACGAAUUGAAGAAGACAACGACCUAUUCCAAUAAGCCGCUGCAAUAUGAUUUGCUCUGGUAACACACGAUGGGAUUCCGGCGGCUCCUCGUCUCCAUCGUCGCAUCGUCAACGUCUCGGUUCGGAGAAGGAGGGAACGACGGAUCUUGGCGAAGCGUGGCAUCCAACGCAGAAUCGCUUAUCGGAAUAAGCUGCUUCGACUAAACGUCGGGAACAUUAUAACUCAAUUUCAAUGCUCUUUGAUGGUGUUCAGAUCUGCGUCGAUUCUAGAGCUUGUUCGAACGAAAAAUUAGAGGAUGCGCAAUAAAAUAGCUUGGUUCGAAGGACUUACCGAACCGUCAACUCCGUAGCUCUAAGCCUGGUGCGUGAGUGUGCUUGAACGUGUGAAGAACGAUGAACUCCGGCUCGUGUAUGGAUGAACUUUGUGGAUGGCUCCCCUGUCGACGCAGAACUUGCAGGGUGAAUCGAUGUGAGGUAACGGAUACUCCAGUUGAAGAUUGUGAACCUCUGAUUGCUGUUUGAAGGUUGCAAGCUCAUGGAUCUUAGGUGGAAGCAUGGCGAUUUCAAGGUGGAAGCAUGGCGAAUUCAAGGUGGAAGCGUGGUGAUUGAAGAAAAUUGGAGAAAGUGAGGAAGAAUGAAGAUGUGGAUUAGAAGUGAAUGAUCAGAAAAAAAUGCUCAGAGAAAGGCUAUGAACUUCUUAUAUAUAAGAGAAGUGUAACCGAAUCGGGCACUUAAGAUGGGGCAGGAUGGAAAUACCUAACUAAACUGAAAUGUUUAGAUGGAAUCCAAAUGAAUUGAGGACCGCGUGAAUUCGUUAAUUGGCAUGGUUAAUGGUGAAUCAGCAACUAUGGAGGUCAAUUUGGAAAUGCAGCUUAUGGAAAUGGCGGAUCAAGGCCAAUCAAGACAAAAAUAUGUUAUACUUGGUGAUGCCGCAAGGUUGCCCUUAUUCAUUCAUUGUGUGAAGGUCAAGGAUCUAUUGUACCAAGAUGCGCCGAUUUGAUGUUGUAAGAUGUGGCUUGGCGUUUCGGUCAUGGUAGUGGCUUGAUUGGGGGAUGGAAUUAUCGAAUACAUACUGUGUUGGACUUAGAGUUAGGAAACUGUGUUGGAAUUAGAGUUAGGAAGUGCAUUGUAAAUUAUAUUAUUUUUGGAUAACUUAUGUAUUAAGUAACAUGUUGUAACACGAAUGAGACGAAACAUGAAAUAAAUUGAAUAAUGAACAAUUAAGAUUGCAAUUAGUGCUAUUCAAUUUGA